rnacentral:rRNA from 1 species
GACGAACGCUGGCGGCGUGCUUAACACAUGCAAGUCGAACGGAAAGGCCCUGCUUUUGUGGGGUGCUCGAGUGGCGAACGGGUGAGUAACACGUGAGUAACCUGCCCUUGACUUUGGGAUAACUUCAGGAAACUGGGGCUAAUAACGGAUAGGAGCUCCUGCUGCAUGGUGGGGGUUGGAAAGUUUCGGCGGUUGGGGAUGGACUCGCGGCUUAUCAGCUUGUUGGUGGGGUAGUGGCUUACCAAGGCUUUGACGGGUAGCCGGCCUGAGAGGGUGAGCGGCCACAUUGGGACUGAGAUACGGCCCAGACUCCUACGGGAGGCAGCAGUGGGGAAUAUUGCACAAUGGGCGGAGGCCUGAUGCAGCAACGCCGCGUGCGGGAUGACGGCCUUCGUGUUGUAAACCGCUUUCGCCUGUGACGAAGCGUGAGUGACGGUAAUGGGUAAAGAAGCACCGGCUAACUACGUG